rnacentral:rRNA from 1 species
CGGGGGACACCCCUUCCCAUUCCGAACAGGGCAGUAAAGCCCGCCAGCGCCGAUGGUACUGCGUCACAGCGGGAGAGUAGGUCGCCGCCCCAC